GGAUCCGGACUUCCCAGAGCCUGCCUGGAGCGCGCACUCAGCGGCUCUCGGGUCCCUGCGUCCCAGCGUCCCAGCCGCGGCCCGCUCCCCGCCGCCCCGCUCCUCCUCCUCCUCCUCCUCCUCCUCCCUGGGCGCCCCUCGCCCCCGCCUUUCAGUAGCUGCUAGGCUCGGGCUGCGGCCCCCCCCCAGCCCCUACUCGGCCACCUCCCCAACUCUCGGGGGUCCCUCCUGGAACGCGCGUCCUCGCCCCAUCCUUUCUUCCUUCCUUCCCUCGCGCCCGCCCUCGCUCUCCAGGUCUCCCGCCCGGGUCCCGGUGGCCUCGGUCCCCGCUCGGUCAGCCGGCGCCUCGCCCUGCCCGGAGUCCCCCGCGCACUUCCUGAGGCGCCCGCCGCCGCUGCCCGGCACAGCCCGCCGCGCCCGGGGAAGGGAAGAGUGGGCGAGCGCCCCGCGCCCAGCCUGCCCGGCGAGGGAGCACCGGGAAGAUGAACAACGGCGUCAAAGCCGAGAAGGAGAACACCGCGAGCGAGGCCAACCUUCAGGAGGAAGAGGUCCGGACCCUAUUUGUCAGUGGUCUGCCCCUGGACAUCAAACCUCGGGAGCUCUAUCUGCUUUUCAGACCAUUUAAGGGCUAUGAGGGUUCUCUUAUAAAGCUCACAUCUAAGCAGCCCGUAGGUUUUGUGAGUUUUGACAGUCGCUCAGAAGCAGAAGCUGCGAAGAAUGCUUUGAAUGGCAUCCGCUUCGAUCCUGAAAUUCCGCAAACACUACGACUAGAGUUUGCUAAGGCAAACACGAAGAUGGCCAAGAACAAACUAGUAGGGACUCCAAACCCCAGUACUCCUCUGCCCAACACUGUACCUCAGUUCAUUGCCAGAGAGCCAUAUGAGCUCACAGUGCCUGCACUUUACCCCAGUAGCCCUGAAGUGUGGGCCCCGUACCCUCUGUACCCAGCGGAGUUAGCGCCUGCUCUACCUCCUCCUGCUUUCACCUAUCCCGCUUCACUGCAUGCCCAGAUGCGCUGGCUCCCUCCCUCCGAGGCUACUUCUCAGGGCUGGAAGUCCCGUCAGUUCUGCUGAAUACUACGUUCCAGGUGUGUGAUGGUGGCUGCAAUCUGUCUUGUGGGUAUUAAUGCAUCUUCAGUGGUGGCUACUGUUCUCGAGCUGUUCUACAAAACUGGAGCAUGCUGAUGGUGGGAAACCAGAGUCUAGCAGAAGAAAUGUAGCUUUCAAGAGGGGGUCCUGCUGGCCCUGCUCACUAAGCAUCAGGACACGUUUACCUACACCAGCGACGGGGCGUGAACAGACCACCAUCUGCUGAGCAGGGGCUGCUCCCGCUAUUGUGUUUGACCAGGGGAAGCAAGAGUCAGAAAGUGAGAUUUCCUAAAGGUGCGCGCUGCUAACUGCUGGACACAUGCUUCUGUUCCAGAGAAUUCUGAGAAAGUAAAGGGGGCAGGUAGGAGCUAGGGGCCGCUGAGGUGUCAUGCAUGAUAUUGGGUUUUCUGACUCGUGGCAGAUUAUUAGUUUGACCCACUUAUGCUGUCAUCUACAAACCUGGCUGUGACAGGACUGACCGGCACUGGACAAACCUGAUUUGGGAAGGAGUCUGUACCAAAAUAUGUUUCUAAUUUCAGGAUUUACUGCUACAUAUAUAUUUUCCCAAAUAAGUCUAACUUAGGACAAUUAUAUGGGUUUUCAAUAAUGAUGCUAUUUUCGUUAUAGCCUCCUCCCACUCACAAAUAAGCAUUUCCUGUACAAAAUUCCAGUUAUACUGAUUUACGCCUACAUACACUUUUUCUACAACCACAAAUUUAUGAGUCUGACAUGCUGGUGAGAUGACAGCAAGAAAAGGUACUUGGAGAGAGAAAAUUAAAAUGACAGAAUAAUCACAGAGUUUCGUUAACACUGUUAACUAAAUCUAGACACAGAGGAGCAGAGAUACACUUCAGAACAUCCUGGGCCAGAGGCGGCUCUGCCAGCGGCAGUCGAAGGACUCUGAUUGUUCCAAGGCCCCACAAAGCAAGACAAGUAUGAGCAUUUCCUUGCAACUGCAGGGGAAGGAGGUAUUGGGAAUUUCUAAUAAGAGAUAAAUGGAAAUUAAAUAUACUCCCUACGUAUCUAAGGUUAGACACCAAUACUCUUGUGUCUUUACUUGGUGAGUCAGUAAAUAUAUUGCACGCUGACACACACACACCUUUUCGCAGAGAAUCACCAAGGAUUUCCCCAGGUGAAAGUUUCGUGAAUUCUAUCAACAGGUGUCUCCCAGCACAACCCCGCAGCAGGCAGGAGGAAUUACUGCACCUUUGAGACCUGCUUUCCUCACACAUUCCUUUCUCUUUCAGGCUUGAAAAAACCAUGCCCAGUUUUGAUUUGAUCCCUUCAAGACUUUGCCACAGCCUCUAUCACACAUCUGUUUUUCUUGAAGAAAAAAAUAUAAUAAAAAUGUUUUACUCUUUUACACUGUAUAAUUUUAACAAAUAGUGUGUUAUUUGUGAAUGCAUGGUCUGACGUACAUUUCUGUACAGUGUGGAGAUAUUUUCAAAUGAAACAUAAAAGAUGUCAACAAUAAA